UCCAGGAAUUCCUGGUGAACAGAAGAAUGGUGUGGGUCCUCAGCCUCUGGCAGAGAGCAUAGGCCUGGCUUGGCCGGGUUCCUCCUUCCCAGGAGCCUUCUGUCCACCACCCCCGAGGACCUGGCCGUCAGCCCCUCUGUGAUCGCACCCUGGUAACCUUGACAACCCUGCUGGCCUACCUCUGCACUGCUCGGCCACCACAGAGCCUGAAGAGGGCAUUCUAGCCGCUGUGCAUUGGCCCAGGCCAGGUUCUCGUCCUGCUUAUGCUGGCCUGCCCUCUGACACUGCCAGGCAGUUCACGUGCCAGUCGGUGCUCGGUUUUCUCCAAGGCCAACAGGGUUCUUAUCUCUAACCUUUAUAUUGUUCACAUCUCCCGAGCUCCCCGUAAACUGUGGGGUCCUCGCAGGCAGGAACACAAUUGUCUCUCAAUAAACAUGUUGCAAAAAAGGAAA